rnacentral:rRNA from 1 species
CGGCCGCGUCGACCUGGGAAACUGGGUCUAAUACCGGAUAGGAGCGUCCACCGCAUGGUGGGUGUUGGAAAGAUUUAUCGGUUUUGGAUGGACUCGCGGCCUAUCAGCUUGUUGGUGGGGUAAUGGCCUACCAAGGCAGCGACGGGUAGCCGGCCUGAGAGGGUGACCGGCCACAUUGGGACUGAGAUACGGCCCAGACUCCUACGGGAGGCAGCAGUGGGAAUAUUGCACAAUGGGCGCAAGCCUGAUGCAGCAACGCCGCGUGCGGGAUGACGGCCUUCGGGUUGUAAACCGCUUUCAUCCAUGACGAAGCGCAAGUGACGGUAGUGGGAGAAGAAGCACCGGCUAACUACGUGCCAGCAGCCGCGGUGAUACGUAGGGUGCGUCGACGCGGCCG